rnacentral:pre_miRNA from 7 species
UUCCUCUGAAAGACCCCCGAAGGGAGACCCUCACUCAAAUCUCGGGAAGGCGUGCACCCAGUGAGACGCUGAGACCG